UUUGGAAGGGAAAGAAGGGUUGCAGAUGUCCCAACAGAUCAUCCUUCCUGCAGCAAGCAACAUGCUGUUAUCCAAUUUAGGCAAGUCGAAAAGGAGCAACCUGAUGGUAUGAUGUUGAAACAAAUAAGGCCUUACUUAAUGGACCUCGGAAGCACCAACAAAACUUUCAUUAAUGAGAGCCCCAUUGAACCUCAACGUUAUUAUGAGCUACGUGAGAAGGACACAAUUAGAUUCGGCAACAGUAGCCGAGAGUAUGUGUUAUUACAUGAAAACUCUAUUGGGUGAUGAGCAGAGUCUUGGUCAAAUCUUGCCCUUUCUGCUCAUUGGAAGUGACAAACACUCCCAUCAGCAGGUUAUUUUGAUCAUGUUCAUCUUCUGUGUAUUUAAUUUCUCUUGAUAGAUGCCAUGUUGCUUGAAUUUUGGUAAUUUUUUCUGUAGAAUACAACACCAAGAUAUCAAAAAAAAAAAUAUUGGCUGUAACACCUAGUGUAUGCGCUUAUGAAUGUUAAUGAGAUGCGAUUAGACUUUAUUUUAAUAAGACGAUGGCAUUGUUAAUUUCAAAAGA